UGUCAUCUGAUAAAGUCAUGCCGAUUAUAAGAUUCACAGUUUUCUCUGCUUUCAACAUCUUUCUGUUUGAACCCGUCGACCUGGAACUUUUCAAUUAUUUGUAUUAUUAUUUAUUUGGAAAACAAAAGGGCCUGGAAAGGAGUAUUUUUUAACCAACAGCAUUGUCCUUUAUGAGUUAUAAAUAAAGUUGAAUUCUUUGAUUCGCUGUUUUACGUCAUUCCGGCUAAGAAAUUGAAAACUGUACAUGCUGUACCUAUACGCCUUAUUUUAAGUCCAGAUUUUUAUUAUUCGUAUUGUCAUCUUAGAAAGUCAUACUGAUUAAAAUACUACAAUCGGGAACAAUUUGACAAUGAUUGAAUUUAGUAGUGUCAACCCUGUGAUUACGACCCGUGUAUAUAGCAAAAUCCUAAACACAGCGUUUGGUGGUGCGCCUGUCAGAUGCGGA
rnacentral:lncRNA from 1 species